GCGGGUGUAGCUCAAUGGUAGAGUUCUGGCCUUCCAAGCCAGCUGUGGGGGUUCGACUCCCUUCAUCCGCACCA
rnacentral:tRNA from 1 species